GAUGAACGCUGGCGGCGUGCCUAAUACAUGCAAGUCGAGCGAACAGACGAGGAGCUUGCUCCUCUGACGUUAGCGGCGGACGGGUGAGUAACACGUGGAUAACCUACCUAUAAGACUGGGAUAACUUCGGGAAACCGGAGCUAAUACCGGAUAAUAUAUUGAACCGCAUGGUUCAAUAGUGAAAGACGGUUUUGCUGUCACUUAUAGAUGGAUCCGCGCCGCAUUAGCUAGUUGGUAAGGUAACGGCUUACCAAGGCGACGAUGCGUAGCCGACCUGAGAGGGUGAUCGGCCACUCUGGAACUGAGACACGGUCCAGACUCCUACGGGAGGCAGCAGUAGGGAAUCUUCCGCAAUGGGCGAAAGCCUGACGGAGCAACGCCGCGUGAGUGAUGAAGGUCUUCGGAUCGUAAAACUCUGUUAUUAGGGAAGAACAAAUGUGUAAGUAACUAUGCACGUCUUGACGGUACCUAAUCAGAAAGCCACGGCUAACUACGU
rnacentral:rRNA from 1 species